UUCAACCUGUCUUAUAUCUUUGUGCUCAUCUGCUGGAAUUACGUACUAACAAUUAGCUCUCAGGAGUUUAGCAGCAAAGGACCUAAGUUCGGAAAUAACAGAUACACUGAUUGUGCUGUCAAUUUGCUAUUUUCGUCAGAGAAGUGUAUAGUGUCCCUUGCUGCUUGUCAGUUGAUGAAGUUGGUGCAUCAAACACUUCAAGAUGUUUGUUUGUCAUCCCCAAGAGUGGCGUUGGAAUUCUAUCAUGCUGCAAGGGAUGUUCUGUUGCUGUAUGAAGCUACCAUUCCAAUCAAGAGCUAUGGGGGGUUUUUGUGCUGUUACAUAUCUAAGUUUUGCCCACAAGGGUUAAAGCAAGUCCUUGUAACAGGCGGAAUUCCAUCAAUUAAGGAUGGAUGUAAUGCAGAUGCCGUAUAUCAUGCAUGCUUUGAAAAGAUUGUGCGACAAAAUGAGAAAUAUUAUGCGACAAAAUUAUAUACCGUAAUUCUUUAGUCUUCCCAAUUUCUUCUUUUCUUUGUUCGUUCCCUUAAUUCCUCUGUUUUACACAGGCUUGAGAGAGCCUGGGAUCUGUAGUGCAGCAGCUACCCCCAACUAAGCCCCCUGUGAGAAUGACAUAUGUCAGACGUAAGAGGAAGGAUAAAUCAGGAAUUACAACUUAAUGGUGUCAGCAUUCUGUUAGAAAAUACCGUGAGCAGCAAGUUGGUGAUUGUCACGCAUGAGAGAGGAGUUGUCAGAGCUAGCACUAUAAAUAAGGCAGGAGCCGUAAAAGAAUGUUAUGUGAUAUAUUCUGUCUUUUUCUUGUCCUUCUACCUCAGUUGUAUGCACCAUUGGUGAUUUAAUAGCUUCAAAUACAACUAUUUCUAUCCUAGCCUUAAUAUUAUUACCUUUGUUUCUGGGUACAGAUUUGCAUCCACUAAUUCCAUAACAAACUUGGAGUUGGUGGAAAAACCUGACUCCUUGGUAGGAGUUCGACCUGCUGUUUCUGGAGAUGGAACUGCGUUAGAAGUACUCAUUAAGUGGGAUAACCUGCCAGAUUAUGAGGCAACUUGGGAAGAUUUCCUUGCCGUCCAGACCAGAUUUCCGGCUUUUCACCUUGAGGACAAGGUGACUCUAUUAUUUACUUGUGGACAAGGGAGACAAAGUUCCCACAUGCUGUAUGGAAGGCUGGUCAUGGUCUAAUUGCUCUUCUUUUGUGAAACUUUGAUGUUGUUAAUAAUAUAUGGCUUGAGCCCUUUCCUGGGAGGUUUGCAUUUCAAUGAGUGGAGAUCCUUUCACCGAUGAGCAAAUUGAUGAAAUACGAGACAAAUGGGCAUCAUACUUCACCGAACAUUGUGUGUAAUUAACGCUUCAUUGAUCUCUUCUUGUGGAUGUUUCGUGCUACUAAAAUCAUAUAUAAUUGCCUUAUUAUAUUUUUGGUGCAAUUUUGUAACGUACGAAGUGUAAAAGAUAUAGUUAUUAUAGAUUUGAAACUAUUUAGGUGGUUUAUUUUUUUAAACAUAUAUAUGAUGGUUAACUUAUAUGUAAAAAUCAAUGUUUCGGAAAGUUAUUGGUGGUUGAUGACACUUUUGAACGUUGUAUAAAU